rnacentral:rRNA from 1 species
CUGCACCAGAAGUAGAUAGCUUAACCUUCGGGAGGGCGUUUACCACGGUGUGGUUCAUGACUGGGGUGAAGUCGUAACAAGGUAGCCCUAGGGGAACCUGGGGCUGGAUCACCUCCUUAACGA